UUUCUUCACAGUGAAGACCUGCAAAGUAUGCAAGAAAAUCACUGAGGAACAGAUCAGGGAGUCCUGACCUCAGCACUGAGCAGUGGGCCUUACUCUUCUAGGAUUGAGGUAAUAGGACAAUAGAAAAUUGAAGCAAACUUACCUACUGCUGUGGACUGAGUAGAAAUGUGUGUUGCAACUAUGAA